rnacentral:lncRNA from 1 species
CUAAAUUUAAUCAGCUAUCUUAUGUAGUCCAUCUCUGCUGGCUUCAGUAACUGCUCCUAACCACACCAUUUUAACUCUGAAGGAAUGUGGAAAGCCUGCAUCACAGCUACACUGGAUGCUCAGCUCCAUUCCUUUUCCUCUUGAGUUUCUCUCUUGAAAGUCACACAGUUUUGUAGUUGAAGCAGUUUGUGUGCAUAUAAGCCUGCAUAUAAACACUUGAGUUAGUAAGUCAUUGAACUGCCCAGUACCAGAUGUGGCAAAUCUCAAGUGAUUGUGAACUCCUGGCUCGUCAACUCAUGCCCUCUUCCAUACCCUCAUGGCU